rnacentral:rRNA from 1 species
UACGAAGGGUGCAACCGUUGCUCGGAAUUAUUGGGCGUAAAGCGCACGUAGGCGGCUUAGCAAGUCGGAUGUGAAAUCCCUCGGCUCAACCAAGGAAGUGCAUCCGAAACUGCUGAGCUUGAGUACGAAAGAGGAUCGCGGAAUUCCCGGUGUAGAGGUGAAAUUCGUAGAUAUUGGGAGGAACACCAGUGGCGAAGGCGGUCCCCUGGGCCGGAACUGACGCUGAGGCGCGAAAGCGUGGGUAGCAAACGGG